AUGAGAGGAAUGCCCUUUGCGGGAGAGGGUCACGCGGGGAGACUGCAGCAGCAGCCCAAGCUCAGCGCCGGCUUCUGGGCGGAGCCCACGUCCGUGCUCGACCGCCGCCACAGCCCCAGCCCCAGCCCGCCCUCCGAGGCCUCCGCGCUGUCGUCGUCCGAGGUGGCGAGCCUCGCGCCCGGCGGCGACGCCAAGAACGUAUCCCCGCCGCCGCAGCAGCAUCAGGCAUGGCCGCCCGGGGAGGAUGCUGCCGCGGGGGUCAAGGAGGAGUGGGCGCACCAGCUGGCGCCGCUCGACAUGGCCAUGGGCCUCGGCGCCGGCGAGGGCUGGGACGGCACGGCGCCGCCCGGGCUCGCCGGCCCUGACAGCACCUUCCUCCGCUGGAUCAUUGGCGGCGGGGAGGACGCGUCCGCCGGGAUGGCCGGCGUCAUGGAUCCGCCCGCUCUGGAGCUCGACCACGCCACGUCUAUGAUGUCGCCGCCCACGGCGUCGCUCGGGCCCAGCCUGUCGCCGUUCGCGCCGGCCAUGGAGGAGGACGCCAAGGGGGCCCCGUUCGGCCACGCGCCCAGCUACCUGCUCCACCAGCACCAGCACCACCCCCAGCCACACGCGGCCUUCUUUGGCGCGCACCCGUCCUUCGAGUCGGCGCCGCCGCCGCCCAAGCGCCACCACCCGAUGGCAGGCGCGCCGGCGCCGAAGCUGCCUGCUUUCCAGGGGCAUCUCGCUCCGGCGGGCGGGUUCUUCCCCGCCCUCAAGCCCAAGGCGGGGACGGCGAACGACGAGGCGGCCGCCACGGUGGACCAGCUCGCCGAGGCUGCCAAGUUUGCCGAGGCGGGCGACGCCUUCGGCGCACGCGAGAUAUUGGCGCGGCUCAAUUAUCGGCUCCCCGCCGCCCCCGCGGCCGGGACGCCACUCCUCCGCUCUGCCUUCUACUUCAAGGAGGCUUUGCGCCUCGCGCUCUCCCCCAACGGAGAGACGCCCGCGCCGCCGGCGUCCACGCCCUACGACGUGGUCCUCAAGCUCGGCGCGUACAAGGCCUUCUCCGAGGUCUCCCCGGUGCUCCAGUUCGCGCACCUCACCUGCGUCCAGGCGGUGCUCGACGGGCUCCGCGGCGCAGGCUGCAUCCACGUGCUCGACUUCGACAUCGGCAUGGGCGAGCAGUGGGCGUCGCUGAUGCAGGAGCUCGCGCAGCGCCGCCCGGCGACGGCGCUCAAGGUCACCGCAUUGGUCUCGCCGGCGUCGCACCACCCGCUCGAGCUGCAGCUCAUCCACGAGAACCUCUCAAGCUUCGCCGCCGAGCUCGGCGUGUUCUUCCAGUUCACCGUAUUCAACAUCGACACCCUCGACCCCGCGGACCUGGUGGCCAUCGCCGGCGGGGACGCGCUCGCCGUCCACCUGCCCGUCGGCGCAGCACACGCGGCCGCAAUGCCCGCCGUCCUCCGCCUCGUGAAGAGCCUCGGCGCCAAGGUGGUCGUGUCCGUGGACCGCGGGUGCGACCGCACGGAGCUGCCCUUCGCCGCGCACCUGUUCCAGGCGUUCCAGUCCACCGUCUUCCUCCUCGAGUCCGUGGACGCCGUGGGCACCGACCCCGACACGGCCGGCAAGAUCGAGCGGUUCCUGGUCCAGCCGGCCGUGGAGCAAUGCGUGGUCGGGCGCCACCGCGCGUCCAUCGAGAAGGCGCCGCUGCCGUGGCGGGCCGUGUUCGCGUCGGCCGGGUUCACGCCGGUGCAGGCCAGCACGUUCGCGGAGUCGCAGGCCGAGUCGCUGCUGCACAAGGUGCCCGUCCGGGGGUUCCGCGUCGAGAAGCGCGCCCCGGGAUCGCUCUGCCUCUACUGGCAGCGCGCCGAGCUCGUGUCGGUCUCGGCGUGGCGGUGCUGA
rnacentral:rRNA from 1 species